AACUUUAAUAUAGAUAUCCUUAUAACUUUAAAUUAAUUUAUUUGAUUUAUACUUAUUAACUUUUAAAAUAUUUUUCUAUAGUUGAAUGGUGGAAGCAAUUUGGACAUCAAACUCCAAACUUGCAAAAGUUUGCCAUCAAAGUACUAAGCCUAACUUGUAGUGCAUCUGGAUGCGAGAGAAAUUGGAGCGUAUUUGAGCAUAUUCACUCCAAGAAAAGGAAUAGGCUUGAGCUAUCGCGUCUCAAUGAUCUAGUGUAUAUUAAAUACAAUAGAACAUUGAGGCGACGUUAUGAAGCUCGCGAUACCAUUGAUCCAAUUUUGUUGGACAACAUUGACGAGGCAAAUGAAUGGUUAACUGGAGCCCCCCAAAAUCAUGAAGAUGAACAAGUGUAUGAAGGAGAUGAUCUUGAUUGGGGUACUGUUUCUAUGGCGGUUGGAGUUGAGGAGAAUAUCUAUGGUCUUAGAGGGAGUUCUUCAAGUUACAAGGGAAAGGGAGUAGCAAGUUCAAGCCGGUCCCUAAUUGAUGAAAACUCCGAGGAUGAAGAAGAUGAUAGCCAAUAUAAUGCUAACAUUCAUGAAGUUGUAGAAUUUGAAAAUCUUGAAGAAGAAUAGACGUUGCUUGUUUUAGACUAUUAGACUUUAGUUUAUGAAUCUACUAUGAGUCUAUGACUAUCUAUUGAGUCUUUAAUUUUUGAAUGAUAUAUUUAUUAAUAUAUUAUUGUUAUUGAGUUUUUAGUUAUAUGUAUAUAAUAUUUUAUGUUUUUGUAUAAAUUGUCGCUUCACAUCAAAAAGGCGAGCGCUUCGCUACGCGCCUCUUGCCUCAGUGAAGCGGGCCCUCAUCGCUAUUUGACGCCGCACGCUAUCCAAAACACUGCUUUCUGCUUGUUAUUGGGUUAUUAUUAUUAUUUACAUAAUUCAUGCUUAUUCAGAAUUCUGUAUUUCUUUACUGUUGGCCCAUAAUAAGUGUCGAUGCCGACCCCUCGUCACUACUUCUUCGAGGUUAGACUUGAUACUUACUGGGUACAUGUUUUUAUGUACUCACGCUACACUUAUGCACUAACCGUGCAGGAUCUGAGGCAGGUGCAUCUGGCGGUCAAACCGGCGCACAUCCCCGAUACCCUGAGGCCUAGCGGUGAGCUGCUUCCUGAGCCGUUGUGCAGCACCUAGAGCCUUUCUUUUGUACUUAUUUUCUGUCUGUGUUAUUUCGACAGUAGUUAGAGUUUUGUAUAUUCUACUAGUGCUCAUACACUUGUGACACCAGGUCUUGGCACACACUCUAGUAGACUUUAUGGUUUUGGAGUAUUUAUAUGUCUAUAAUUGCACUCAGUUGUUUUCGUUUUAUUUAUUAAACUUCCUACUUCUUAAAUCUCUUAAUAAAUGAAAUUUAAUUACUUGGAAACCUAUUAAAAGGAGUAAUCACGUAGUUAUUUUCAUUGUUGGCUUGCCUAGCGGCGACGUUGGGCGCCAUCACGGCCUAUAGGAGAAUUUGGGUCGUGACAGUGCCCCACAGAUAUCUUCGGAUGGAAAGGAGGCAUGAUAGCAAGCGCAACACAGGUUGAUUGCUGCUAUGGGUGUGUCUCUGAAUAUUCAUUAAUCAUGUAUAAUUCUAUUCCGCCUUGUAAACUUGAUCAAGGGUGUCAAAUGGGUGGGUUGGGCUACAUAUUGGCAGGUUAAAAUAA